CCUACGGGCGGCAGCAGUGGGGGAUAUUGGGCAAUGGGCGCAAGCCUGACCCAGCAACGCCGCGUGAAGGAAGACGGCUUUCGGGUUGUAAACUUCUUUUAGGGGGGAAGAGCAGAAGCCGUUACCCCUUGAAUAAGCCACGGCUAACUACGUGCCAGAAGCCGCGGUAAUACGUAGGUGGCAAGCGUUGUCCGGAUUUACUGGGUGUAAAGGGCGUGAAGCCGGCGAGCCAAGUCAGAGGUGAAAUCCACGGGCUCAACCCGUGAACUGCAUUUGAAACUGUUUCCCUUGAGUGUCGGAGAGGUAAGCGGAAUUCCUGGUGUAGCGGUGAAAUGCGUAGAUAUAAGGAAGAACACCAGUGGCGAAGGCGGAUUACUGGACGACAACUGACGGUGAGGCGCGAAAGCGUGGGGAGCAAACAGGAUUAGAUACCCGAGUAGUC
rnacentral:rRNA from 1 species